rnacentral:misc_RNA from 1 species
GUCCAAGCCCCUAUUUUUCUUCUGGUGUUUUGUCGCAUUUCCCCCAUUCUCUAUUUGGGUUUGCAAGUGCUGAGUGGGAAAGGCUUCUUCGUUAAGAGAGACUCAUACACUCACUCUAAUGUUUGGACGCUGCUAUGCGGAUUUUCCUUUGAAGAUCAAUGAAGAGUUGCUGAUGAAAGGAUAGUCAACGGCGAUGGCUGAUGAAGGAAGAAGGUUGCUGAUGAAGAUGGUAUCCGGUCAUACUUGUUUAGUCUAGGGAUCCAUAUUCCUUAGGGUUUGAGUGUUUUCUAAGCUUGGAUUGAAACUAAUAUAACAAUGUAUUAUUUAGUGGCUUGAGCCUUGUAACUCUUAUUUCAU